rnacentral:rRNA from 1 species
UACGUAGGUGGCAAGCGUUGUCCGGAUUUAUUGGGUUUAAAGGGUGCGUAGGCGGUUUCCUAAGUCAGUUGUGAAAUACGGCAGCUCAACUGUCGAGGUGCAAUUGAUACUGGGAAACUUGAGUACUGAUGAGGUAAGCGGAAUGGACGGUGUAGCGGUGAAAUGCUUAGAUAUCGUCCAGAACACCGAUAGCGAAGGCAGCUUACUAAGGAGUAACUGACGCUGAGGCACGAAAGUGUGGGGAUCAAACAGG